rnacentral:lncRNA from 1 species
ACGAUGUAGUCAACAUUGGAUAAGGAUGAGUUCAUUUAUUAUGGGUAACAAGACAUGGUAAGUUCCCUGGAAUGUGGUCAUCUGCUAGUAGGUUGCCCUUGGAACCUUGGAAAAAGGAAUGACCCACACCGCAUGAAACAGAAAACCCAGGUCUUACGUGGCAGGUUGUACAGGAAGGAACAAAAGACUAAGAGAAGUGCCCAUGCCAGAGUGACUGCAGUAUGAAAAUCCACAACAAUGUUCACCCUCUGUGCUUAGGGGAAGCCUGGAAGACUCCUGUUUACCUAGCAUAUAAAGAAGGCCCCAGGAGAAGGCAGCAGACUGUCAAGAAGCUCAGGGAUGCCUGUUGCUGAAGCCCAGGGUCAGGGGUUGCCAUUGCCUGCUGUUGCUCUACAAAGGGACAGGACUUGACACAGAGACAGAG